rnacentral:rRNA from 1 species
UAUAACCGGCGAUUUCCGAAUGGGGAAACCCAGUGUGAUUCGUCACACUAUCAUUAACUGAAUCCAUAGGUUAAUGAGGCGAACCGGGGGAACUGAAACAUCUAAGUACCCCGAGGAAAAGAAAUCAACCGAGAUUCCCCCAGUAGCGGCGAGCGAACGGGGAGGAGCCCAGAGCCUGAAUCAGCAUGUGUGUUAGUGGAAGCGUCUGGAAAGGCGCGCGAUACAGGGUGACAGCCCCGUACACAAAAGCGCAUGUGCUGUGAGCUCGAUGAGUAGGGCGGGACACGUGGUAUCCUGUCUGAAUAUGGGGGGACCAUCCUCCAAGGCUAAAUACUCCUGACUGACCGAUAGUGAACCAGUACCGUGAGGGAAAGGCGAAAAGAACCCCGGCGAGGGGAGUGAAAAAGAACCUGAAACCGUGUACGUACAAGCAGUGGGAGCACCCUUCGGGGUGUGACUGCGUACCUUUUGUAUAAUGGGUCAGCGACUUAUAUUC